rnacentral:misc_RNA from 1 species
GAUGAAGAACGUAGUGAAAUGCGAUACGUAAUGUGAAUUGCAGAAUUCAGUGAAUCAUCGAGUCUUUGAACGCACAUUGCGCCCCCUGGUAUUCCGGGGGGCAUGCCUGUCCGAGCGUCAUUGCUGCCCUCAAGCACGGCUUGUGUGUUGGGCCUCCGUCCUCCUCCCGGGGGACGGGCCCGAAAGGCAGCGGCGGCACCGCGUCCGGUCCUCGAGCGUAUGGGGCUUCGUCACCCGCUCUUGUAGGCCCGGCCGGCGCUUGCCGACACAUCAAUCUUUUUUCCAGGUUGACCUCGGAUCAGGUAGGGAUACCCGCUGAACUUAAGCAUAUCAAAAGCUGAGGA